rnacentral:rRNA from 1 species
GAUGAACGCUAGCGGCGGGCUUAAUACAUGCAAGUCAAGGGGUAGCAAUACACCGGCGUACGGGUGCGUAACGCGUAUGGAACCUGCCCUUAUCUGGGGGAUAACUCGGGGAAACUCGAGCUAAUACCGCAUAAGAUAGUAGAAUGGCAUCAUUCAGCUAUUAAAGAUUUAUCGGAUAAGGAUGGCCAUGCGUAAGAUUAGAUAGUUGGUGGGGUAACGGCUCACCAAGUCUACGAUCUUUAGGGGCUCUGAGAGGAGAAUCCCCCACACUGGCACUGAGAUACGGGCCAGACUCCUACGAGAGGCAGCAGUAGGGAAUAUUGGGCAAUGGGCGGAAGCCUGACCCAGCCACGCCGCGUGCAGGAAGAAGGCCCUCUGGGUUGUAAACUGCUUUUGAUUGGGAAGAAAGCAUCUCAUGCGUGGGAUUUUGACGGUACCAAUCGAAUAAGCCACGGCUAACUACGUGCCAGCAGCCGCAGUAACAC